UGGGGAAUAUUGGGCAAUGGGGGAAACCCUGACCCAGCAACGCCGCGUGAAGGAAGAAGGCCUCGGGUUGUAAACUUCUUUUAUCCAGGGAGCGAAGGACGUGACGGUACCUGGAGAAAAAGCAACGGCUAACUACGUGCCAGCAGCCGCGGUAAUACGUAGGUUGCGAGCGUUGUCCGGAUUUACUGGGUGUAAAGGGCGUGUAGGCGGAGAAGCAAGUUGGGAGUGAAAUCUAUGGGCUCAACCCAUAAACUGCUCUCAAAAACUGUUUCCCUUGAGUAUCGGAGAGGCAAGCGGAAUUCCUAGUGUAGCGGUGAAAUGCGUAGAUAUUAGGAGGAACACCAGUGGCGAAGGCGGCUUGCUGGACGACAACUGACGCUGAGGCGCGAAAGCGUGGGGAGCAAACAGGAUUAGAUACC
rnacentral:rRNA from 1 species